CAAAAGAUUGCUUUUGUUUUCAGUGAAAGAGAAUGCAUGGUGAAAGUCUACCUCAGAUUCAAAAAAAAGUAUGCUGCUGGUGAAAUUUCAAUGCAAAACUGUUACCAGAUGAAAAGCUACUAUGUCAUUCAGCUCAAGGCGAAGAAGAAAGAAACAGCAAUAACAGCAAAACUAGAUAAUUAAGAGCUUCAGUUUCGUGAUUCCACUAGAUGAGGAAAAGUUCUAAUAUACACUCUCCCUAGACUUGUUUAGUAACUGCAUUCUCAGAAAAGCUUGUAUUUCUGUAGAAGUGCACAUAAUGUAAUUAUAUGGGGUAGAUUUAUAAAGAUGUAUAUUUAUUUUUAUGCCAAAGUGUAGAAUUUGGCCUCAAAUGUAUCCAAAACUGAUAAAGCUGUGGCAAUUAAUGAUUCAACUACCUUAGACCU